ACUCAGCUGAUGAGUCCCAAAUAAGACGAAAUGUGUGUCAAACUGGAU
rfam:Schistosoma margrebowiei strain Zambia genome assembly, scaffold: SMRZ_contig0000421